GACAGAACGCAGGUUGGUGGUUUCAAGGGACUGUAGGAGAGAAUGAGAAGAAGCUGCUUAGUGGACCUGUUCCCAGCCAGAGUCCAGUGAGGAAGCAAUGUGGACAGGUGGAGGCCGGAUUAGGAAGAAGCAGAGCCAUGGCCAGGGGAAAAUAAAGAGGCAUGCCUGAAGCUCCAGAGAGGCAUCGAGGAGGCUGAUAAAGCAAAGUCAAUGAGAAAAUUGGCUCAUAAACAAACUUCAAGAAGUAAAUUUGACAAAAUCUUCUUGGCUGAUUGAGAUUUGCAGAUGCCAAGUGAAAGAUGGGGCAACAGUGGUGAAAUACUCUCUUGAAUCCAGCACAGGAGGGAGAAGAGUAAAGAAAGCCCCUCACACCUGCGAAGGGAGCACAACCACCCUCCUGAGAUGGAAGUAUGACCCCAUGAGGGAGGCGAGAAUACUCUGAUGGAGCUCCAUGCCCCGGUGAGGACGAGAGACGAGGGACAAGUCUGCAGGGCAGGACCACCUCAGGCAGCUCUCCUCCUCUGUUCCUUUUUGACCUGAACAGGCAGUAUUUGAAAGCAACUACACCGAGUGCCCCCAGGCUUGUGAGCUUGAAGAAAGUGACCCUGCAGCCAACCAGGGCUCUUCCCUGAUAUAGUGAACAGCAACACAGCAAAAGGAACUCUCAUUACAGUGCACAUUACAUACCACAGAUGAGAAAACUGAGACACACACCAAAAAUCCUCCCAGUAGGAUAGAGUUAGUGAGUUAUAGAGCCAGGAUUCUCAAGGAGACAGCCAGAUUCCAGAGGCCAAACUCUUUCUGACAAUGCCAUAUUGUUGCAUUCAGGAGGACCCCUGGGUGUUGCUACAAAGGGCAGCCAGGUUCAAGCGGAAGCCAUGGCAGAAAGUUGGCCCUGGUGCUUCCUCACCAAAGAAAGAGAACAAGAAUGGCAGAGAUGAUAUAGAUCCAACGGAAAUGUGCAAGGCCAUAGCUCCCUCCACACUCUGCUCGGGCUGCAAUAUGGCCAGAUUGGUUUCAUCAAUUACCAGAAAGGGCCCUUCUUUCCCAUUUUGUGUGGACUGGGAUGAUUUCAUCAGAGAUUAUCAUAAUUCUCAAACAGAACCCGUAACAAUUACUAUUUCACUAGAAGACAAUACUAGCUAAUUGCAGAAUUUGGGCUCUAGGGGCGAGCAAACCUAAAGAAACCGCACUUCCCUGGGUAGACAGGACUGGAGAGUCAGGAAUGGGGAGGAGCUCUGCCUUGUGGUGUCUUAGGGAAGCAGCAGUCCCAGGAUGGGAGAGGAGUGUGCUCAGAGAGCCAGCCUCCCCUUAUUGGUGCACCUGUUCUCUGAUGACCACUGUGGGCACCUGGGCGGGACAUAGCAAAUGUAGGUGAGAAGGCACAAAGUAGCUGGGACAUACAAUCAUGAGAGGAGACAAACUCAUCUUGUCUCCAUUGCCCCAGGAAGGAAAGAGAGCAGGCAGAGAGGAGAACACAGAGGCAACACAGAGGCUCUCAAAAGCAAGGCGUCCACAGUCAGGCUGUUCAGGGGAUUAAAGGAGAGAGCUGGAGGGAAGCAGCCCUGGGUUCAAAUGCCAGCACUCCUGUGAGUUUCCUGAGUCACCUGGGCCAGGUUGCUCGACGGAUUUGAGUUGCAGACUCUUCUGUCCCGUGGAGAUGAUUACCUAUCUCCUGUGUUGGCAUAGGAAUCGAGUGUUACAGGUAUGUUAGCCUGGAAAGUGACUGUCACUCACACACAGACCCAUUCUCACCCUCGUCCACCCAAGUUUAUUCUCCACAUAUCAGCAAGGCACCCAGAGUGAACUUUUAAAAUCAUAAACAGGACCAUGCAGCUCCCCCAUUUCGACACUUUCAUGCCUCAUCAUCGCCAUGGGAACAAAUCCACAGGACUCCCCACUGUCUGCAUGGUUUGCCCACGGCUGCUACUCCAACCUCACCUUUGCCCCCCUCCCCUUUGCCCACUGGGCCACAGCUCCAUUGAUGGAAUCACCUUUCCUCCACUUGUCAAGCAUGCCCUAACUCGGCCUGAGCAUGUGCUGUUCCCUCUUACUCAGGGCUCUUCCCCAGAUAUUUACAUGGCUCAGCUCAGUUCAUCAAGGUCUCUGCCCAAAGGCCACAUCUUUGGAACACUCUUCCCUGACUAAUCCAUCAAAAAUAACCAUCUUUUUAUGCCUCAUCCCCUUACCCAACUUUAGUCUCCUUCUUGGGUAUUAUAUUAUGCAUUUAUUUCUCAUCUGUUGUCUAUUUCCUGUAGUACAUCGUGAGUUCCAGUCCUCUGUACCCCAAUGCCUAGAUCAGUGCCAGCAUACAGAGGUAGACAAUAAAGGUGUCACCUUUGCCUUCCUUUUUUCAUCCCCCCUCCUCUCUCACACUAUAGAAUCUCAUUGCAGAAGAUAUGAGAAUCAGAGUUGCGUUUCCAUAACUGGAGGAGUCAAGCCACCUGUGCUCCUAUAGGUCCCACCUCCUUUGCCUAUGAAAUCCACGUCAAAUUUCAUGCUCUGUCCGCUUCCUCCUCCGUGUCCUGGCCUCAUGGAGCUUCCUGAGCUCUGCAUCCAUUUCCACGGCCAGGAGGAAGCAAGACUUAAUAGAUUGCUCACGGAACUGCCAGCCCCGUCUUUGCGCCUCCAGCUUCAGCUCCCCAGUCAGCUCCUAAGUGUGGCAGUAAGCUCUGUAGCCAGUGGCUGGUAUCGUUAUAGGCACCUGUUAAGCUCUAUGAGCCGUUAUGGCACUCGAUACAUAAUAAAUAAUAAUAUGCUGCCAAAUGAUUACUGUAUGACUGCCGCUAUGAUGAACCGUUCAGGAGGAAGUAAUAACCGUGAGCAACUAGGAAAGCAAACAAAGAAACGAUCUGCUGUGCUGUACCUAAAAAUAAAUCUAGGAACACAGAGAGAUUCAUCAGGGGUUGAAAUAUUUUGUUGACAAAGCCACAGGGAUAAUAGGCACGUUUAAAUGUGCCCCUUUUUGCACAGCUUCACUGUGCGGUGCUAACAUACAUUUCUCCAGCCCUCACAGUCACAUGAACUCAGAAGGGGCCACUGGGGGCUAGAGAGAAGACACACACUGACCCCUUGUCGUAGUUGGUGACUUCAGAUGGUGACUCAGAUAUACUAUGUCCAGGGAAGCUGGGUUCAGUCUGACUCCCAACAACCAGCAGUUGGAUGCUCAGAAAAGGGCAAUAAUGGGG
ensembl:lncRNA